rnacentral:rRNA from 2 species
UGAGGAAUAUUGGUCAAUGGGCGGAAGCCUGAACCAGCCAAGUCGCGUGAGGGAAGACGGUCCUACGGAUUGUAAACCUCUUUUGUCGGGGAGCAAAGAGGCCACGCGUGGCAAGAUGAGCGUACCCGAAGAAAAAGCAUCGGCUAACUCCGUGCCAGCAGCCGCGGUAAUACGGAGGAUGCGAGCGUUAUCCGGAUUUAUUGGGUUUAAAGGGUGCGCAGGCGGUUCAUCAAGUCAGCGGUAAAAAUUCGGGGCUCAACCCCGUCCUGCCGUUGAAACUGACGAGCUGGAGUGCGACAGAGGAAUGCGGAAUGCGAGGUGUAGCGGUGAAAUGCAUAGAUAUCGCGCAGAACUCCGAUUGCGAAGGCAGCGUUCCAUGUCGUAACUGACGCUCAGGCACGAAAGCGUGGGGAUCGAACAGG